GAAUUGCAGAAUUCAGUGAAUCAUCGAAUCUUUGAACGCACCUUGCGCCCCUUGGUAUUCCGAGGAGCACGCCUGUUUGAGUGUCGUG
rnacentral:rRNA from 1 species